rnacentral:rRNA from 1 species
ACAGAGGGUGCAAACGUUGUUCGGAAUCACUGGGCGUAAAGCGCGUGUAGGCGGCUGCGCAAGUCGGGCGUGAAAUCCCGUGGCUCAACCACGGAAGUGCACCCGAAACUGCGUAGCUGGAGUCUCGGAGAGGAAGAUGGAAUGCUUGGUGUAGAGGUGAAAUUCGUAGAUAUCAAGCGGAACACCAGUGGCGAAGGCGACCUUCUGGACGAUGACUGACGCUGAGACGCGAAAGCGUGGGGAGCAAACAGGG